rnacentral:rRNA from 1 species
GUGUCAGCAGCCGCGGUAACACGUAGGCACCAAGCGUUGUCCGGAUUUAUUGGGCGUAAAGAGCUCGUAGGCGGUUCAGUAAGUCGGGUGUGAAAACUCUGGGCUCAACCCAGAGACGCCACCCGAUACUGCUGUGACUUGAGUACGGUAGGGGAGUGGGGAAUUCCUGGUGUAGCGGUGAAAUGCGCAGAUAUCAGGAGGAACACCAGUGGCGAAGGCGCCACUCUGGGCCGUAACUGACGCUGAGGAGCGAAAGCGUGGGUAGCAAACAGGAUUAGAUACCCGCGUAGUCC